rnacentral:rRNA from 1 species
GAUUUUAAAUUGAAGGGCUGCAGUAUAUUGACUGUACAAAGGUAGCAUAAUCAUUAGUCAUUUAAUUGAUGACUUGUAUGAAGGAUUGGAUGAAAUAUAACUCUGUCUCUUAAUUAAUAAUAGAAUUUAAUUUUUUAAUUAAAAAGUUAAAAUGAUUUAAAAAGACGAGAAGACCCUAUAGAGUUUUAUAAAUAAAUUAAUUAAGAUUAUUUAAUAAUAUAAAAUUAAAAUUAAUUUAUUUAUUUUAUUGGGGUGAUAGAAAAAUAUAUUUAACUUUUUUUUAACAAAAACAUUUAUAAGUGGUUAAAUGAUCCAGUAUUAUUGAUUAUAAGAAAAAAUUACCUUAGGGAUAACAGCGUAAUUUUUUUUUUUAGUUCAUAUAAGAAAAAGAGUUUGCGACCUCGAUGUUGGAUUAAGAUAAAAUUUAAAUGCAGAAG